GGAAGCUUCUUCUUCUUCUUCUUCUAACUUUUUUUAACUUCUUCUAUCUCACCCUCGAAACAGAGAGAGAGAGAGAGAGAGAGAGAGAGAAAGAGAGAGGAAAGGAGAUAUUAAAUUCUUCGUCGCGAUCGAGUUUUGACGAGAUGUGACGUAAUUUAAGAAAGAAGUAAGAAAAUUGGGAGAAAACGUUGUUAAAUCGAGAGAAGGAAUUUAAAAAAAGGAAGGAAGAAAGGAGCAAAGAAAAAUAGAGAGAAAAGAAAAGAAAAGAAAAUUAUAAAAGAGGCUAGAGAAGAAGAGGCAGCUAUUCGACAACGACGUAAGAAGAAUUUUCAUUCUUCGAUAACGCAAGAAGUUCUUAUGCAAAUAACUAAGAAAAUAGGUAUCGAUCGAUUUCUCGAAACAAUAACGGUAGCUUCGUCCUUUUCUUUCUCUUUUUGUAUAUACUUACCUAUACGCACGCGUACAUAUACAUAACACAAAUAUAUAUAUAUAUAUCUUUCUUUUUCUUUCUCUCUUUCUCUCUCUCUCUCUCUCUCUCUCUCUCUCUCUCUCUCUCUCUCUCUCUCUCUCUCUCUCUUCUCGAAAGGAGAAAUGCGGGUGCGAAGGAAACACGUCACGUGGCUCGUCCCUUCGUUGGCGAGUAUCGCACGUGACGCAACGAGACGCGAAACGACGCGACGCGACGGGACGCGAGUUCGACUUCUCGCGAAGAGGAAAAAGUUGUGUCUUGGAGAGUCGUGAGGGAGGAACGACGGAAAAAAAAGAGCAGAAGGACGGACAGAUUGACAGACGGACGGACGAACGAACGUACGUACCGACAAACAAACAGAAAGAGAAGAAAAUCGCAUAGAUUCACGAGUGAAUUACAGUCGACGACGUUCUAUCGAACGAGAAAAUCGUCGUCGGCCAUGAGUUCCUAGGCGGUCGUAAUCGACGAUAGAACGAAGAGAAGAUCGAGAAGGAAGAAGAAAAAGAAGAAAAAAUAGAGGGAGAAAGGAAGAAAAAGAGAAGAAAGAAUAUAUGAGAAUCCGAUGUGUUAUUAUCUACAAAGCCAUUGGAAACGAUCAACGACGGACAUAUGUGUAUCGGAUGGUAGUCGAGUUAAAGGGCAUGUUGGAGGGAGUUAAGGCUAGCUCGAAGGACCGAAAGGAGGAGGAGGCCAAAGGGGUGGACCAAUGGAAGGAGGUAGAUGUCGGUGUAAUGAAGACCGACAGAGGCGCUCCCGGCCAUCGCUAAUUUGCCGCUAAGUGCCCGGCUUUGUUUCCGUACGUUGAUCCCCCAUCGUUUGCAAUAUCCUGGAUUCGAGACGAUGUAAGUACUUACGUAUCACUGCGCUUAAGAGAGAAAGCCAAAUAACCCGCGGUGUCAUGCCGGUCUAUUCGAUACCCCAACCCUAUAACUCCCACUCCUUUUCCUUCUUCUGUUUCUCUCUCUUUUUCUCUCUCUGGCUCUCUCUCUUUCUUUCUCUUUCUCUGUUUCUGUCUGUCUAUCUGUCUUUCUCUUUCUCUCUCUCUCUCUCUCUCUCUCUCUAUUUCUCUCUUUUUUCUCUCUCUUUCUAUCUAUCCUUCUCUUUAUUUUAACUUUGCAAAUAGACGAUAGUACGUGGAAACUAAUCGAGAAACACAAAGGGGAAAUUCCAAAUUAAUAUAGUUGCGAUUUAUUUUAAUUGUCUUUUUUUUCUUCUUCUUUCUUUUUAAUUUUUCUUAGAAAGUUGACAAAGAAAGGAAAGGAUGUAAUUACAAAUGAAUAAAUAAAUACUAUUGUCGUACAAGUGGAAAUAAUAUUUUUUCAGGAGAUAAAGAAGAAGAUUAUUAAUCCUUUCAAUAUCGUAUGUUUUUUAUAUAUAUGUUUUCUUUUCAACUUUCUUUGGAAAGAUACCAAU